UAGUUACUGAUAUUUCAGUCAAUGAUAAGCCAGAUGAGCAAUGAUUAUUCCAGAUGGUCAUCAUACAAAUGUCUGAUAAAAUCAAUUUCUGCAGUAUAGCUUCCCCCUUUCUCACCGAUAGUGAUCAUCAGUGGUAUGAACAAAUUAUAGAUUGCUCCUGUAAUGUGAAAUCCCAGCUGGCAACUACGACAUCAAUGCCUUAAGAGGCAGGUAGUCACCAAGUAAACGAAACGUUUCAUGAUUUGUUUACUGUUAUGGUCAUCGGACUAACUCUCCAUUUCCUGACUUAUUUUAUUGUUAUAGUCAUCUCAGUAUUUUCUGUGCAGCAGAUUUCGUUUAGUUAUCAUCACUAUCUAUGUACAUGUUAAUGAGACUACAUUCACGAUAUUUGACGAUUUUGUCUUUCCAUAUUUACUUCAACAAACUUUUCACUCAAACCUUUGUGCCAUAAUUGAACAAAUUGCGUUUUAAUGUCUUUGUAAUAAGUCACAUUCCGUUAUGUGUUAGUAUCUUUGCAACAAAAAUCACAUUUUACGAUGUGUUAGUAUCUUAGCAAUCGCAUUCCGUUUUGUUUUCGUAUCCUAACCAAUCACAUUCUGUUAUGUGUUAGUAUCUAAUCCAAUCACAUUCCAUUAUAAGUUAGUAUCUUAACCAAUCACAUUCCUUUUUGUGUCAGUGUCUCUGUAUAUGAUCUCUACGACUUCCACUUUCAAAAAAAAAUCUUACAAACAUUACCAGUAGUAUGUACUCAUUCUAUUUGAAUUUUUGUGGCUCUUCCAUCUCUACUUAUCUCUGUGGGUCUUAAAUAGUUUGAUCUCGACCAUUUGACACAAACAUUUUUUAUGAUAAUUAUUUUUAUUUUCUCUGGUUUUGUAAUUUUCUGUUUGAGUGUGUUAAUAUUGUUUUCCUUGCCAAGCCUACAUUCCAGACGACUUUGUUGUGAGUCCUUGCCCAGUGAGUCUUAUUCAGUGAAGGCAGCAGAUGCCAAACCAGAGAACACACUGUGUUGGGGUCCAUUUUAGAUAUUGGAAUUUUAAUUCAUAAAUUUUAAAAUAAUUAACAGUAGAAAUGUACGUGUAAUUAUAUUGUGCACUUUUAUUUAAACAUUAUGCUGUUAAAUCAUGAAUUUUUAUGUGGUUUAAUCAUGAUGGGUUUGAUUAAGAAACAGUAUUUGGUUUGUGUGAGAUUAGAUUUCUUGGUUCAUCAAAUGUGAGGAAAUAAGUUUUGUAGUUGUAAGAUAUUUUGUUUAAAUAAUAUUGUAUUCAACAAGAUAUUUCCACAUGUGAUCCCUGGCCUAAGAAGGAAUGGUGGGCAAUAAAUGGCCACAGUUUACUAUAAAAUCCUCAUUCCUUCUUUGCUAUAAAGUAAAUACAUUUACAAUAAAGUAACCUUGACCCCCAAGCCUUGUUACAAUGAAGUCUUCCUGGUAGCAGAUGCAGCAAGAGGUCCGCUUAGAUUAUUAAUCCCUAAAUAAUAUCAAUAAUUUAACUGUUAUUCCAUCAUUUAUGUUUGAUGUAGCCGUUUUGAGUAAUCACCCGUGUCAAUGCAUUGUCAGUGGCCUGGUGCUGUUCUAGAGAUCUCGCUGUCAGUGCUUAAAUAAUCUUGUAAAACAAUUCCACAAUCCUAUUGCUGCUGUUUGCGCUGUAAUAAUCCUGUAGAUCAAUCCCACAAUCCUCUUGCUGGUGUCUGUGCUAUAACAAUCUUGAAGAUCAAUCCCACAAUUCAAAAUCGUUUUGCUGCUCUCAUGUAAUACCUCAUGAAAUGAUUUUUAAAUGCUCCAGAAAACAUUCCAUUUUUAGACCAAUAUGUUUCAUGUUUUAUAAUAACAUUCCAGAACAGAAUGCCUUAAUUAUUUAUUUUUUUCCCAGGUGAGACCCUGGGGUGACAUUUUGUAUUGAGGGGCCCCAUACCUGGUAUUGAGUUGCUUAUAACUAUGGGUACCUAGACACUGAGGACUGCAUUGGUGUAGGAGCUAUAACCUUGGUAACCCCCACCCUACCCCACCCCAGGGUCUGUGCCUGAUAUUUUGUAACCCCAAUCAUGUUAAUAUAUACAUGCAAUUUUAUUUAACAAUUUCAUCAUUGUCAUUUUUUUAUUCUUUGUUAAAGGUGCAGUUCAUAGUUCAUAAUUUGUUGAAAUAAAAAAGAACUUUAUAUUAUC
rnacentral:misc_RNA from 1 species